GAUGAACGCUAGCUACAGGCUUAACACAUGCAAGUCGAGGGGAAACGGCAUUGAGUGCUUGCACUCUUUGGACGUCGACCGGCGCACGGGUGAGUAACGCGUAUCCAACCUUCCCAUUACUGUGGGAUAACCUGCCGAAAGGCAGACUAAUACCGCAUAGUCUUCGAUGACGGCAUCAGAUUUGAAGUAAAGAUUUAUCGGUAAUGGAUGGGGAUGCGUCUGAUUAGCUUGUUGGCGGGGUAACGGCCCACCAAGGCUACGAUCAGUAGGGGUUCUGAGAGGAAGGUCCCCCACAUUGGAACUGAGACACGGUCCAAACUCCUACGGGAGGCAGCAGUGAGGAAUAUUGGUCGAUGGACGGAAGUCUGAACCAGCCAAGUAGCGUGCAGGAUGACGGCCAUAUGGGUUGUAAACUGCUUUUGUAUGGGGAUAAAGUUAGGGACGUGUCCCUAUUUGCAGGUACCAUACGAAUAAGGACCGGCUAAUUCCGUG
rnacentral:rRNA from 1 species